ensembl:lncRNA
UGACAGUACACUUUAUUGACCAAGAUUGGAAGCUUGUCAGCUUAUGCCUCCAGACGGUUUACUCCCGAGGAUCACAUGGGCUAAGCAAUUGCAGCCGGACUUACGGAUUGGGGACUCAGCGAGGACUGCCAGGUCUGCAUCACCACAGAUAGUGGGACCAAUAUCAUAAAAACUGCUGAGUUGAACAGAUGGACAAGGCUACAGUGCAUCGGGCACCAAUUGAACUCUGCUAUUGAGAAAGUUCACCAAGACAAGCGAGUGGACAGAGCAAUUGGGGUCUGUAAAAAGGUGGUGGCUGCCUUCUCCUAGUCCUGGAAGAAGAAACAGGACCUUGCAGCUGCUCAGGAGGAGUAUCACUUGCCAAAACACAAGCUCAUCAAUGAAACCCCAAGUUGGGGUUCCAGUCAACAAAUGGUGAAGCGGGUUCUGGAGCAGAAAAGGGCUAUCACAGAGGUCCUCUCAAUGGACAAGAAGACCAGGUCGCUGGUUCCUUCUUGGCAAGAUGUGGACGUUUUAGAGUCUAAAGAUGCAGCUCUAAGCCCGCUCCUCGAAUUCACGGAUGCCUUUUCCGGUGAGUCCUAUGUCAGUGUGUCAUUCCUAAAACCAGUUAUGCAUCUCUUCAACACCUCCAUCUUGAAGGAAGCAGAGGAUGACACAGACCUAACCAGGACCAUAAAAACAACAGUGAUGGGAUACGAAAAGUAUGAUGAACCAGCCAUGGAUGAUCUACUUGACAUGGCAUGCCUCACUGACCCAAGAUUCAAGCUUCAGUACACUCAGGAGGAGAAGAGAGAAUACACCAAAGAGAAAGCUGUGUUGGAGAUGCUGAAGGGAGUGAGAGCUGUUGUGGUAAGGGAAGAGGAGUCCAGAGAAGAAGCCAUGGGAGACGCUUCUGUAGCAGUGACACCAGACAAGAAAACAAAGCGGUCUCUUGUUAGUUUUUUUUUCAAACAGGUCCACCACUACCAACAAAGAAGGCUUGAGUGUACAGCAGGCAGUUGAGAGGGAGCUCAGCAACUAUCUUCUGUCUCCAGAUGCUGACAAUGACUGAAAUCCUCUGGAUUGGUGGAAAGUCUAUCAUAAGAACUUCCCCAGAGUAAGCCAACUAGCAAAACAUUACUUGUGUAUCCAAGCCACAAGCUCCCCCUAUGAGAGGGAUUUUAGUACAGAUGGCAAUAUUGUCACAUGUAAAUGGGCAUUUUUGAUAAUGUAGACCAGAUUGUAUUUCUUGCCAGAAAUCUCUAGAGCCUGUCAUAGGGUGUCAUCAACCCUCAGCAAUGUCCCUGCCCCAGCAACAUGUGUUUUUUUUUUUGUUGCUCACUCUUUUUUUCUGUUUUCUGCAGCAACUCUGAGCACUUUUCAUAUUUUUCUAUCCUGGCUGAAGCACUUUUAUUUCAAUCUAUAAGAAUAAGAUAAUCAGUCUAUGUUGUAGUUUAAAAUUAAAGAUAUUAAUAUUAACAAAGGUGAGAGUUU